rnacentral:tRNA from 1 species
GACUCUGUGGCCCAAUGGAUAAGGCGCUGGUCUACGAAACCAGAGAUUCUGGGUUCGAUCCCCAGCAGAGUCGUCGUCGUCCUUUCUUUUUUUAUUUUUUUGUUAUUUUAAAUGCAAUGCAUUUGAAAUAAAAUAAAGUAAAGAGAUCUCAAAACAAUAUGUCAGGAUGGCCGAGUGGUCUAAGGCGCCAGACUCAAGUUCUGGUCUUCGAAAGAGGGCGUGGGUUCAAAUCCCACUUCUGACA